CUUUUUCAACAGCACAGUGUUGGCUGUUACCAGUUCUGGCCAGGUCUCUCAGCACAUACAUCAGUGCAGUGUUUCUUUGGAAGAUUUUGUUUUCUUUUUGCCAUUUGUCAGGAGAUGUGGAUGUACUCCCCAGCCUUCUGUUGGCUGAGUGCUGAGAACGCAUAGUAUGAAGUACAUUUAUGUGCUUGUAUUAUCUUAAUGUAACCUAAAAAAGCACAACAGUAGAAUGAGAUUUCUGAGUUUUAAGACAGGGUAUCCUGUCUGUGUUGUAAGGAGAAUGUAUUCCCUGGGAAUCUGUAGCAGUCUGCUAUGCUCAGUAAAGUAUCUUCAAGCUUUCCUCUGUGAAACGAGCCUGUAUUCUUUGGAGAAGAAUGGGGAAGGAAAGUCUCAAAUAAAUGGAUGUAAUUGCCUUCAUUAAAAGCUGACUGAACAGACUUUAUCCUGUGGGGUCUACUCUCUCUCUCUGAGUCUGGCCCUCUGAACUGAGAUGCAAGGAGAGAUAUCAACAUCAUGUCUUCAGAGGAUGAAUAACUUCCCAAGAAGCUUACACUACAUUAAGACCCAUCUUCACAAUGAACAUUCCUAGGAGAAGAGAGUGCAGGUGGCUGGGCCUUACGAGGGAGCCUUUGAGAAGUUAUUUUGGUGAAAAGCUGGCUGCCACCCACUGUGCUUCUCUGCCAGCCGCCGUGCUCCUUCACUCUCACCACACCUCUCUCAUCCUCAAGAUAUUUGAAGAGUUUGUAUUCAAGGUGUGGAACAUCCGUGUGAUCCAGCCUGUAAAAUACCAUCGUGGAAGAUAUUUUUUGACUGCUUCCUUGCACAUGGGCAAGCACUGCUGUACUCCCUGCUGUCCGCCCAGUGCCUCCACAGAGCCCUCCGAGCUCUGCAAUAUGGAUGCGUGCAUACAAGGCCCCACUAGAGACAGCCCUCACCUUGAAAAACUGCAUCUCUGGAGUGAAAGGAAGGAAGAAAAUAAGACUGAAGGCAAUAGAGUUACACUGAAGAUGGCUUUGGCCCAAGGGUUUAUGCAAAACAGAUUUGUGAUGUUGCAAAUUUGUAUUUUUCCUUUCUGUUUCAAAAUGGGAAAGAGCAGAAACAGUUGAUACUGUCAUGAAAUUUCAAGACUGAAACACAAAGUAUUGGAAACUUGAGUGUCCUUAAUAGUGCUAAUCCAAGCCUGCUGGACCUGUGGACCAUUUUUGCAAUCAAAUGCUUAAGAAAUGCAGUGCAGUGAACUGAAUACUAUAAUUCUAACAGGAAAUUUCUCACUAAAAUCAGUGAGAAUUUUGUCUAUGUGAGGCUUACAAGAUUGGUUAGUACUUGAAGAACAACUUUUCUUCUUCCAUAAAGAUCCUCGCUGAUGGGUUCCUAUACUUCACCAGCUUCUCUUCUUUUCCUCUGUCAGAUUACAACAGAGGAUGGCAUGCUCUGAGUGCAGCUCCAAUACGUGGCACGUGGCUGUAUCUUUUGUUCUUAAAUUACAUGACUCUUGAGACAAGAAAACCUGCCAGAAAUCAGCCUUUGGAUGAGGAAGGCCAGGUCCCAGCUGAACCAAGCAGCACAAGUAGGAACUAUACCAAAGAAGUGGGCUCACCCAGAGCAUUCAUUGAAGUGGUGCAGAGCAUUGGGCACAUGCUGGAUCUUCCACAAAGCUUGGAGAGCUGGGCAGCCUCCAUUCCUAUCAACAUCUUCCUCACCUUUCCUCCUGUGAAGAGACAAGGAACCACCAACACAACUGCAGAACCCCAUGGACUCCCGUAUCUGCACAAGGAGGAGACUGUGUGACCCUGAUCUUGGCCAGCAUAGCACAAGGCUCCCCAGCAGUCACCUGCUUGAACCUAACACAUCACGGUCAGCUUCUAGUGAUAAUACAGCAUUCCUUAAUUUUGAAAGCAAUUAUGGGUCUGAGUUCAGGUUUUUUUUUCCCCAGAUUAAAGUCAAUAAAACACUCGGACAUCCGGAUUCCAAUCACAUGCAUAUUACUAACUGUGAUAUUUGUAUCGCUGAUCCAGAAGCCAAUCACAACACUAACUCACUCUAUUGCUAAAAUAAGGAUAGCUUCCUCAUAAGCCAAAAUAACAGCCUGUUAUCCCUUCCAAAGCCACCGUUUUUCUGGCCUCGCAGGAACAAAGGAACAGGAGGUAGGCAAUACUCUUAUGGGGAAAGUAAACUAUCCCUCGCACAAGAAGCUUUUAAACCUAAGCACAUGUACUUGACAUACUCAUUUUCUGAAACUCUAUAUUUUCAUGUAUCCCUCCUCUUAUGACAUACCUCUUACAGUAUGUUGGAAUCAGUCCUGUCUUAUCAUCAUUGCCAUGGUUACCUUAUCAUCAUUACAGUAUAUAUGUGUUGCUAUAAUACUACUGUGGAUGUCAUAUCAAAAUUCCCUAAAGCAAAAUGAUCCCAGAACUUACUCUGUACACAUCUCAGGUUGCUAAGCAUUGAUAGCUUUAUUAUAUGUUUCCCAGCUAAAACAAAGUUAGCUUGUAUGCCUCUGCUGACAUACAGCUCUUUGUCCUUUCUGGUAGAAGGCAAAUUAUUCCAUGUAUCAUCUUCACUGUAAGCUACUUCCUUACAUCAAAUAAAAAUUCCACUCUUGACUGGAUAUCUCAGCAACCUGAUUUUCCUUUACUUAUAUUACUGUAUUACUAAAAUUCACAAGAAUGUUGAUACUGGAGGCAAGGAGCAUGUUAGUCAGUCAAGUUAAGCACUGUGAUAUUGCAGAUACAGAGGUCAUGAUACGAAGAUGUGGCACAGCUCAAAACCCAGGGCAGAGUAUAUACGGGCUUGGGAUAAAGAAAACCCUUUGCUAGGGUUGUGUGGCUGUGGGAUGAUCUUUCAGUGUAGAGUGGAGGAGCACAGAUGUUAACAUCUGGUUUUAAUCCAAAAUCUGUAUUACCCUCCAAUGUGCGCUGGGGACUAUGAAUGCAAAACUCUUAACAUAAGCAGAAUUCCUUAUGUGUAAUAAGGAUUUUGGUAAUGCGUUUGGCUCUAUGUGGAGGAUGCACAAGCCUUGUAUGUCACAGACUAGAUCUUGCCACAUGCUUCCACUCCUCUCUGGAUAGACUCACUCAUAGGAUGGAUUGCCCCUGCUUUUUUCAUGGCACUUUCCCACUGACGAGGUGUCUGGGGAAGCUGGGUACAGAUAUAACUUAAAUAUCUUUUACCUUCGGUGACUGAAUGCUCAUUCUUCUGAAAGACAAAAGCAAAGCCUUGACUGGAGAAGAGAAUGUGUACACACGUAAUUGUGCAUCUGUCUAUGUAACCAUGUUUUAUGUAUGGAAUCGCAAGAAAACAUGUCUAACUCAAAUGAUGAUUGAACUGAUACUCAACUAAGUUCUAACUACCAGAUUUUCCAUCGUGUUCAUCCUUAUAACAGCUCCUUACUACAUUCUCAAGCAGAGGCUUUGAAUAUGAGGCUAAGAGUACAGUGGAGUGAAGAAAGUGAUUCAUUACUGGGAAUAAAAAACCCAGUCUUCAUGGAUGAUACAUUGCCUAUAUACAUGAUUACAGGUUUAGAAACAAGAGGUUACCUACUGUUCCACGGCUGUAAUCAAAUAUUACCAGACUGAAGAAAAGCAAAUACACUCAAGAUUUUCAGGAGAAUUCUCAUGAUUAAGAAGAGUAAAAUCUUAAAUAAACAGAGGUAAAUAACAGAACAUUUGUGAUAGAGGAUAUGAUGGUAAUUGCAGCUGGGAAACUUUUCUUCUUUUCUUCUUAAGCUAAAGAUGACUGGGAAUUUUUUUUGGUAACUACAGGAGCAGUUAACUGGCCAUUUUUUAUGAGGAAAUGGAAACAAGGAUUCAAGGCCAUCGUGAAGACUAUGUAAGGUAAAACCUCUCCUCGUGUUCAAAUCAUAUGAUACUACCCAGAACUGAGAGGUAUCCUGUCAUCCCACUAUGCCUGCAUUCAUGGGGCGUGGAAAAAAGAGAUGAUUAUGUGGCAAAAUUGUCGUAGCACUAUAUGGGCUCUCUGGGGCAAGCUGGGGCAGCAGUGGGGGUGAGUGUGACAGGGCAGAUUUCCCCAUCAGCAGCAACUCUCCAUUCAUAAAAGCCCGAGUUUCUCAGGUGACACCUAUUUUCCUUUCUUUAGCCGUAGCAGACAGAUGUGCAGAUUGUGUGCUUAUGCCAAACAGUAUUCAAGGGUCCAUGCUGUCUGGAAAACUGCAUUCACACUGAAGCCAUAUUGUUCCCUCCCUGAAUUACAAGCUGGAUUCCCCAGCUGGUGAGCUGCUUUGCUGCAGGCUUGCGUAGGCCUGUGAGCCAACUUGGAUAAUAGCAGAGCUAUAACCAGGACUGUGAUCUCAGACCCUGACCCAGCGUGAAUUCUAAGCAUCGUUCCUCUUUCCUUAGUGUUAUACACUCAAUCUGCUGCUGCUUGGCAGGCUCUUAAAUCACAGUUCUCACACCCGAAUAGGCCAACUUCUGGCAGCCACUGCUGCACAAAUGGUAGCAUUGGAGAAGAAAAUCCUUACUACCUGAGUGUUUGAAGGCCUGAUGUGGAAAUAUCUGGAAGAACUGAACUUCUCCAUGAGCACUACUGAUUUCAUUAUUAUUUUUUAAUUCAUAUUUGUUGAAAACUAAUUCAGCCAGGGCAUUGGUGGCCUUUUUUGGUUGGUUGGUUGGUUGGUUUGGUUUGGUUUUUUGUUGUUUUGUUUUGUUUUAUUUGUUUUUUGCCACAAGCGUGCAUUGCUGGCUCCUUGUCAGUGUGGUGUGCACCAGAACCCUCAUGUCCUUCUAAGCAGAAUUACCUUCCAGUUAGUUGGAGCACAGCAUGUAGUGGCUCCCGGGGAUGUCCCUGCCCCAGGCCAGGACUUUGGUUUUCCCCUUGUUCCAGACGUUCUUCUCACCCCAUUUCUACACCCUGGGGAGGUUCUUCUGGAUGGCAGUACAGCCCUCUUCUCUAUGAGUACUGAGCACAUCAUUCAGCUGGUUUUCAAUCCACUUCUUCAACUUGAUGUAGUUUGUAAUUCCUGUUGGUAGCCACGUGACAGAGUCUGUGCUGCUCGCUGUUGUUGUGCAAGUCUCCACCCUUUUCCAACCAGGUCCAGACAGAGUGAGUUAGAUUGGUGAGUAACAUGCAGUCUGUCCUGGCUUCCUGGAAAAUAAGGUUUGUAACCUGAAUUAAAGAGCUCUGGUGAAUCGCACAACAUAGUAACUGAGUUAAAUGCAAAUUACAUCAACAUUUACGAAGUUUCAAAAAUGCAAGUGCUCUUAUAAAUGAACAGGAAUAGAAGUAAACUCAUUUUCCAGGUGUGCUAUUGGGCUUCAUCUGCAUCCUACUGUUUUGUACUAUCUGUGUAACAGGAUACAUAGGUUUACCCAGCUCUCAGUGGCACAAAGACAGGAAAGAGAGGCAGGUUCCCCAGUGGGAUUGGAGCCAGAUCCAGCCAUGAAAGUCCCUGCAGGAUGGGCUGUCAAAUAGAUGUAGAGAUCUUACACAACCAACCCAUUCCCAAUACAGAGAAAAUGGUUUCCGCAUUAUUCCUGAAAGUUACUUAAGAGGGCUCAGUUUUUUACUCUGUAACGUGCUCUGGAAUACCUUGGUGUGAUAUAUUUGAGCUCAUUUGUUAAAAUAAAGUACUUCAAAUACCGUAAAAUACUAAAUGCUUAGGCUGAGUCUCAUCUCUGUUCUUCCAUUCUAUAGUAUCAGGAACAUGGCUGCAGGAAAUCAGAAUGGCAAUGUGCAGCGCCAGCAUCAACAAGAAGCAG
ensembl:lncRNA